rnacentral:rRNA from 1 species
UACGUAGGUGGCAAGCGUUGUCCGGAUUUACUGGGCGUAAAGAGCGCGCAGGCGGUCGUUCAAGUCGCGUGUGAAAGCCCCCGGCUCAACUGGGGAGGGUCACGCGAUACUGAUCGACUCGAAGGCAGGAGAGGGUAGUGGAAUUCCCGGUGUAGUGGUGAAAUGCGUAGAUAUCUGGAGGAACACCGGUGGCGAAGGCGGCAUCCUGGACCGGUAUUGACGCUGAGGCGCGAAAGCCAGGGGAGCAAACGGG